rnacentral:sRNA from 1 species
UGUAACGUGAAUCCGCACUUCUUCAUCGGAUGGUUUUUAUUUCAGGGUUCAAAAGUAUUCUUUUUUUGAACAUUCUCCAAGCUUUCGAGCGAAAAAUAUGUAUUUCCAUCCUGAUGACAUUUUUUUGCCGCGAGGUAUCCGGUUAGGCAGGCUUAUUCGGAAGAAAAGAGCAAAUCUUCCGAACGCUUCGGCGUUCGUCCUUGGGCCUCGGGCAGUGAGCCGACGGCCCUCUUAUCGGGGUACAUCCUGUUUUCCCAACGCUUCGCUUCGCUCCACAUUGGGCUGAAUUAAUGCGCCCUUUCAGGGCUUUUAAAGCAGUCAGCGUUCAGCCCCUGCAUUCCCCCUUUUGAAGGGGGGCUGGAGGGAUGUCCAUAUCAACGCCCCGAAGAGAUUAGCCCGCACAGGGCACAAGGGCUGAAAGCCCGAUAUAUUUCAGCCCCAUCCCGUAAGGGUGGGAUAUCGAUUCCCAGACCUUGUUCAGAGGGCUGAAAGCCUAAAUGAAUAUUGAUAUAGAGGCCACCCUUUGUCAUUCCGAACGGAGUGAGGAAUCUCACCAUGAAAAGGAAAGAGAUUCUUCGCUUCGCUCUGAAUGACAAAUUAAUGGUUAAUUGUCAAUGGUUAAUUGUUAUGCCGGGUACACGGUAUCCGAACGCAGAGGAACAUCCCCCUCCCCCCCUUCAAAGGGGGAAGAAGAGAUUGGCCCGCACAGGGCACAAGGGCUGAAAGCCUGACAUAAUUCAAUUGUUAAUGGUCAAUUGUUAAUUGUUAUGCAGGGUUAUCCGAACGCAAAUAACGCAAAUAACGCGAAUGAAAGCAAAUAACCCCCUUUGUCAUUCCGAACACAGUGAGGAAUCCCGCGAGGAAAAGGAAAGGAGAUUCUUCGCUUUGCUCUGAAUGACAAAUUAAUUGUUAAUUGUCAAUGGUCAAUUAUUAUGCGUGGUACACGCCGAAUCAUGUAUUUAGAAAAUAACCAUUGACCAUUCAUUUCGGCGUUCGUCCAUGGGCCUCGGGCGGUGAGCCGACGGAGCAGCGAGCAGGGCGAAAGAAAAUCAGGCUGUCCAAGCCAAGCGAGUUACCUGAUUUUUCGACCUGCGAGCGUCGCGAAGGCAUGCGAAGCGCACGAAGCCUUGACCUUUUGGUUACUUUUGGGUCAAGCCAAAAGUGACGGAAAGAGAUUCUUCGCUUCGCUCUGAAUGACAAAUUAAUGGUUAAUUGUCAAUGGUUAAUUGUUAUGCCGGGUACACGGUAUCCGAACGCAGAGGUACAUCCCCCCCCUCCCCCCCCUUCAAAGGGGGAAGAAGAGAUUUGCAGGGCUGACCGCUGA